rnacentral:rRNA from 1 species
UGCCUCAGUAACGGCGAGUGAAGCGGCAAAAGCUCAAAUUUUAAAGCUGACAUCUUCGGUGUCCGCGUUGUAAUUUUGUGAGGCAUCUCCGGGUAGGGCGCCGGCCUAAGUUCCUUGGAACAGGACGUCACAGAGGGUGAGAAUCCCGUGCUUGGCUGGCUGUCCCCGUCCAUGUGAGGUGUCUUCGACGAGUCGAGUUGUUUGGGAAUGCAGCUCAAAAUGGGUGGUAAAUUUCAUCUAAAGCUAAAUAUUGGUGGGAGACCGAUAGCGCACAAGUAGAGUGAUCGAAAGAUGAAAAGCACUUUGAAAAUAGAGUUAAAAAGUACGUGAAAUUGUUGAAAGGGAAGCGCUUGAGACCAGACUUCGGUAAGGGGUGAUCAGCCGUCCUUUUGGGCGGUGCACUUGCCCCCCUCCGGGCCAGCAUCGGUUGAGGCGGCGGGAUAAAGGUCCCGGGAAUGUGGCUCCUUCACGGGAGUGUUAUAGCCCGGGUGAAUGCCGCCAGCUUCGACCGAGGACCGCACCCGCAAGGGUUAGGAUGCUUGGCAUAAUGGUCUUCAGCGACCCGUCUUGAAACACGGACCAAGGAGUCUAACAUCUAUGCGAGUGUUUGGGGUGUCAAACCCUUGCGCGAAAUGAAAGUGAACGGGAGGUGGGAACCCGCAAGGGCGCACCAUCGACCGGUCCCGAAGUCUUCUGAAGGAUCUGAGUAGGAGCAUAGCUGUUGGGACCCGAAAGAUGGUGAACUAUGCCNUGAAUAGGGUGAAGCCAGAGGAAACUCUGG